CUAGAUCCUUAAGGUCAACCAAUCCUAAAGGUCUCUAGGUCCAUUCCUAUUCUUUCACUAUUGGCUCUGAUACCAACCUAUCUGUCACGCCCCGAGACCGAUGCCAAUUUGGCCCGACCCGAGCACGUCAAACAGACGCCGAACGGACAGAGUUUCCCCUAUCCGCCCAAGGCUCAUCACACGUACAUUUUCAUCGAAAGAGAAAAGCACUAGCGGAAACAUACACAAACGGCUUACACGAGGGUAAGCAGUAGCCAUUAGUGAAAGAUAGGAAAACUAAACUUCUACACAAGUAAUAUAAUUCAUUUUAGAUCAUAUACAUUGCAUCCAUCUCUUACAUUUAGAAUUCUUUGCAUUUCAUUACAUAAUUCCAUCAUUUCUUUCUUACAUCACAUUUACCUCAAAAUACACAUCGCAUUCUUUUCUUUACAUCACUAAUCAUCAAGUACAAAAGAUGAUAAAAGGGUGUCUACUAACAAAAUGUAACCCAACAUUGGUGGCCUCUGACUAAGGCGCGAUACCUUUACCUCGGUCGCUCGCCGGCUCGCUCGGUCCCGGCUCUGUGGAAAUAGUGGGGUGAGAACUACAACAAAGUUCCCAGUGGGUUCGGCCUCAACAUCACCGACUUUCCCACUAGGACUAACUCAGGCAUAAUAGAAAGGAUGAGUAGGAUAUAGUAACCAAUCUAUAACAUGAUGCUAAUAUGCCUGAACAAGUAACAAGAAAUAUGCUCAACAUUAAAUAAAUGCAGGUUAUGCAUGUUCUUUAGUUCUUUACACUUUACACUUUGUUCUUUGC
rnacentral:lncRNA from 1 species